rnacentral:rRNA from 1 species
UACGAAGGGGGCUAGCGUUGCUCGGAAUCACUGGGCGUAAAGCGCACGUAGGCGGUUUCUUAAGUCAGGGGUGAAAUCCUGGAGCUCAACUCCAGAACUGCCUUUGAUACUGGCGAUCUCGAGUCCGGGAGAGGUGAGUGGAACUGCGAGUGUAGAGGUGAAAUUCGUAGAUAUUCGCAAGAACACCAGUGGCGAAGGCGGCUCACUGGCCCGGUACUGACGCUGAGGUGCGAAAGCGUGGGGAGCAAACAGG